AUACUCAUUAUCAUAAAGUGUUCACAUUAAUAAGAGUUGACACAAUGCUCACUCAACUUGUACAGAUGUUUAAGUUCUCUUUAAAUCUAGUGCCACCUCUCAAAGAAGGAACGUACACGGAACUCAUAAUAUUGAUAUUUGAGCAUUAACGAAGCAUUCCAUGGAUUCACCAGGUGCCGGGUCCAUCGCGUUACAGAGAGAGGAGCUUCAACAGUGCCUGGGACUUGCGACCCAGGCGUAGGUUUAAGGAGCCCCUAUUUAACGCGCGUUAAACGCUCACCUCCGCCGUCCACGCUCCUCUUUCUACCUAACCAAAAUUGAAACGAAUCUAAUAGGGCCGUCUUCAAAAAAAAAUGAACACAUUAGAAGAAGCAAGAAAAGAAACUUCCUGGGAAACCAGCCAGUGGUGCACAAAUGUGAAGUGUAAUGUUUAAUGUUUUUAUUUGAUGAGAUGUUUUGUUAAAAUAAAUAAAUAUAUAUAU